GAUGAACGCUGGCGGCGUGCUUAACACAUGCAAGUCGAACGGGAAACCUUUUAUUGCAGCUUCGGCAGAUUUAGCUGGUUUCUAGUGGCGGACGGGUGAGUAACGCGUGGGUAACCUGCCUUAUACAGGGGGAUAACAGUCAGAAAUGGCUGCUAAUACCGCAUAAGCGCACAGAGCUGCAUGGCUCAGUGUGAAAAACUCCGGUGGUAUAAGAUGGACCCGCGUUGGAUUAGCUGGUUGGUGGGGUAACGGCCCACCAAGGCGACGAUCCAUAGCCGGCCUGGGAGGGUGAACGGCCACAUUGGGGCUGAGACCCGGCCCAGACUCCUACGGGAGGCAGCAGUGGGGAAUAUUGCACAAUGGGGGAAAACCUGAUGCAGCGACGCCGCGUGAAGGAAGAAGUAUCUCGGAAUGUAAACUUCUAUCAGCAGGGAAGAUAAUGACGGUACCUGACUAAGAAGCCCCGGCUAACUACGUG
rnacentral:rRNA from 1 species